rnacentral:rRNA from 1 species
GGGUGAGUAACACGUGGGUAACCUACCCUCCGGUGGGGGAUAACCCUGGGAAACCGGGGCUAAUACCGCAUAUGCCCGAGAGGGGAAAGCCGCAAGGCGCCGGAGGAGGGGCCCGCGGCCGAUCAGCUCGUUGGUAGGGUAACGGCCUACCAAGGCGAUGACCGGUAGCCGGCCUGAGAGGGUGAACGGCCACACUGGGACUGAGACACGGCCCAGACUCCUACGGGAGGCAGCAGUAGGGAAUCUUCCGCAAUGGACGCAAGUCUGACGGAGCAACGCCGCGUGAGUGAUGAAGGUUUUCGGAUCGUAAAGCUCUGUUGCCAAAGACGAACAGCUGGGAGAGUAACUGCUCUUAGUGUGACGGUAUUUGAGAAGAAAGCCCCGGCUAACUACGUGCCAGCAGCCGCGGUAAUACGUAGGGGGCAAGCGUUGUCCGGAAUUAUUGGGCGUAAAGCGCGCGCAGGCGGUUUUUUAAGUCUGGUGUUUAAGCCCGGGGCUCAACCCCGGUUCGCAUCGGAAACUGGGAAACUUGAGUGUAGGAGAGGAAAGUGGAAUUCCACGUGUAGCGGUGAAAUGCGUAGAGAUGUGGAGGAACACCAGUGGCGAAGGCGACUUUCUGGCCUAUAACUGACGCUGAGGCGCGAAAGCGUGGGGAGCAAACAGGA